CAUGUGGUAACUGAUGCUUCCUGCAAACAGCCACAUACGUUUCUUGGUAGUGGAUCCUCUACCCCAACCAAGCUCUCAGAUCACUAUGUUCCCCUACUGACAUCUUGAUUAUAACCUCACAAAAGACUCCAAGCCAGAACCACACAGCUAAUCUGUUUCUGAACAACUGAACUACAGGAACUGUGAGAUAACAAAGAGCAAGAAUUUGACUGGGAAUGAGAAGACCUGGCUUCUAGAACCAGCGUUGUCACCUAUGAAGUGCAGCAGCCAGAGGAAACUAAUACACUGCAGAAAUCUGAUGUGACUCACGCCUCUCAAGGAGCACCCUGGAAACCGUAAAUUGCCAUGCCUUGGACUUCUCUGUUUGGACAAGGGCAGGAAGUUUGUCAUCCAUUCGGACUUCAGUAGUUUGGGAGCUGUGAU